rnacentral:misc_RNA from 1 species
UCCUGGUACAACUGAUGCUUCCUUCGGAAGAGAAGUUUUGAGCUAUGAGACUCCAAAACCGGUGGUUGGCAUCCAUCGAUACGUGUUCAUCCUGUUUAAGCAGAGGGGAAGGCAAACGGUGAGGCCACAAGCUUCAAGAGACAAUUUCAACACCAGGAGGUUCUCAGAAGAGAACGGAUUGGGCCUGCCGGCGGCUGCAGUGUACUUCAAUGCUCAGAGAGAAACUGCUGCAAGAAGAAGAUGAUCUUGUCAUGACAGGAUCAUCCUUUUCGAG